UCCAGAGGGUCUUACUGAAACCCGCAGAGGAAAAUUCAGGCAACGCCUCGCACUGAUCCAGAAUGAGAUGGCAUCAACAUUAGAAAAAGGUACUAAAGAAAGAAACAAGAAAGUUUUGCAAGGAAGAAAUAAUAAGACAUCAUAUCUGAAGAGUGAUGCUGAAUUAAAAAAGAUAUUUGGUCUUACUAAAGAUUUGAGAGUGUGUCUUAGUCGAAUUCCUGACCAUUUUGGCUCUGGAGAAGGUUUUGAUUCCUUUAGCAGUUUGGUGACGAGUGGUACUUACAAAGAUACAGAGUUUAUGGUGAAUGCAAAAAAAAGAAAACAGAGUCUUGAUAAGAAAAGAAAAGCAAAAACCAUUAAGAAGAUGGAUCACACAAAGAAGAGAAAAACUGAGAAUGCUUAUGACGCAGUCAUAAAUGGGGGAACUAAUGUCACCAGUUCCCAACUCCUUAACAGUAUUUUACCAGCUUCAGAUGUAUCACAACAUAACAUUCACACAAGCCUCAACAAGAGCAGAGAAGAAAAGAAAACUGAGAUAGAACACUAUAUCCAUGAGAAGCAAGAGAAAGGCUCAUUGAGUUCAAAUGCAGCUCAUGAACAAAGUCAUUCCUUUAAUAAAAAUUAUGCUGAAGAUAUUUUCCCCAUGAUACCACCUGAGUUAGAAGAAACCAUUCGAGAUGAAAAAAUAAGAAGACUUAAGCAGGUGCUAAGAGAGAAAGAAGCAGCUCUCGAAGAAAUGCGUAAGAAGAUGCACCAAAAAUAAUAAGAUCUCCUGUACUUAAAAGACUUCAAUGAAAUGGCUGUUUUUAAAAAUAUACUUUUGUA